GAUUGUCAGUUUGUUUUCUGAGUAUGUCUAUGGUUAACUGACUUCCUGUGCAGGAGACACAGCCAUAGUCUAACCACAGAGACAUGCAGUUUCCAGCUCUAACAAUGAGAGCUAGGACCCAUGAGGUCUGGGAAAACCUGGGCCUGAAUGUUCCCACUUCAUUUGGAGCUCCUGCCUCAACAACAGCAGCCAAGUUCCCAGGGGGUGCCAGGGAAAUGACUGAAUGAAGAGUUAAAAGACCCAAGUCUCAUCUCCUGCCACCUUAGAACUCCUCACGGAAGAGAAAAAUUCUACAGUAAGAGAAGCUAAACAAUACACAUAUAAACAAGCAAAUACUGCAUGGCGGUAAGCGCCAUAAAGGAAAACAAAACAAGACCGGAGUGCAAUGGCACAACCUUUCCUCACUGCAGCCUUGAUCUCCUGGGCUCAAGCGAUUCCCCCACCUCAGCCUCCCGAGUAGCUGGGAUUUCAGAUGUGCACCACCAUGCCCAGGUAACUUUUGUAUUUUUUGUAGAAACAGUCUUACUAUGUUACCCAGGCUGGCUUCAAGCUCCUG